GGGGACGAAGCGACAUUCUGUUCCUUCGUUUUGGUUAGAGAACAACCUGGAAGGACCUGUGUUUUGUGUGGAGAAAAUUCGGCAGCACAGAUGUUGGCAUACCAUUGUCAUGUGACUGAAGAUGAUCAGUGGGGGUGGCAAAACAGGCCUUUCGUGGAACGUCAUGAUGAGCUGAUACCUCUGAAACUUCCACACCUGAUUGGAUAUGGAUUUGACUUCAAAAAAGAAACAGUACCAAGCUACUAAACCCUGGAGGCGAGGCCCAGCCUGUGGAGUCUCUGCCUGGACGUGCUGUGCUCCUGACCAGUAGGCGUUGCUAAAGCAGGAUGAGGUGAACUAUCCUCAGCUGAUUUUCCUCCCUA